rnacentral:pre_miRNA from 1 species
CGGAGUUCCAACAGGCCAUACAACUUUGCGUUUGCAUGGCACUGCUGAAACUCCGAA